GGUGAGGAAGCACAUGUGGCAUGUGCGCUCGGCUGUUAACCGAAAGGCAUAGGGUUCGAAUCCCUAACUCACCGCCA
rnacentral:tRNA from 1 species